rnacentral:rRNA from 1 species
CAUGCAAGUCGAGCGGCAUCGGGAAGUAGCUUGCUACUUUGCCGGCGAGCGGCGGACGGGUGAGUAAUGUCUGGGAAACUGCCUGAUGGAGGGGGAUAACUACUGGAAACGGUAGCUAAUACCGCAUGACCUCGCAAGAGCAAAGUGGGGGACCUUCGGGCCUCACGCCAUCGGAUGUGCCCAGAUGGGAUUAGCUAGUAGGUGGGGUAAUGGCUCACCUAGGCGACGAUCCCUAGCUGGUCUGAGAGGAUGACCAGCCACACUGGAACUGAGACACGGUCCAGACUCCUACGGGAGGCAGCAGUGGGGAAUAUUGCACAAUGGGCGCAAGCCUGAUGCAGCCAUGCCGCGUGUGUGAAGAAGGCCUUAGGGUUGUAAAGCACUUUCAGCGAGGAGGAAGGCGCUGUAGUUAAUAGCUGCAGCGAUUGACGUUACUCGCAGAANAAGCACCGGCUAACUCC